UCCAGACUCCUACGGGAGGCAGCAGUGAGGAAUAUUGGUCAAUGGGCUUACGCCUGAACCAGCCAAGUCGCGUGAGGGAAGACUGCCCUAUGGGUUGUAAACCUCUUUUGUCAGGGAGCAACGCCGGCUACGUGUAGCCGGACUGAGAGUACCUGAAGAAAAAGCAUCGGCUAACUCCGUGCCAGCAGCCGCGGUAAUACGGAGGAUGCGAGCGUUAUCCGGAUUUAUUGGGUUUAAAGGGUGCGUAGGCGGACGCUUAAGCCAGCGGUAAAAUGGCGGGGCUCAACCUCGGCGAGCCGUUGAAACUGGGUGCCUUGAGUGGGCGAGAAGUACGCGGAAUGCGUGGUGUAGCGGUGAAAUGCAUAGAUAUCACGCAGAACUCCGAUUGCGAAGGCAGCAUACCGGCGCUCAACUGACGCUCAUGCACGAAAGCGUGGGUAUCGAACAGGAUUAGAUACCCUGGUAUA
rnacentral:rRNA from 1 species